GACGAACGCUGGCGGCGUGCUUAACACAUGCAAGUCGAACGGCAAGGCCCUGCUUGCAGGGUCCUCGAGUGGCCAACUGGCGAGUAACACGUGGGUGAUCUGCCCUGCACUUCUUGGUAAGCCUUGGCGACUGGGUCUAAUACCGGAUACCAGCCACUUCUUGUGUGAUGGUUGGAAAGUUUUUUCGGUGUUGGGUGAGCUCGCGGCCUAUCGGCUUGUUGGGGGGGUAAUGGCCUACCAAGGCGGCGAGGGGUAGCCCGCCUGAGAGUGUGGACGGCGACAGUGGGACUGAGAGGAGGCCCAGACGGGUACGGGAGGCAGAAGGGGGGAAGAUUGCACAAGGGGCGCAGGGCGGGUGCAGCGAGGCCGCGUGGGGGAUGACGGCCUUCGGGGGGUAGACUCCUUGCGGGAGGGACGAAGCUUGUUGUGACGGUACCUAGAGAAGAAGCACCGGCUAACUACGUG
rnacentral:rRNA from 1 species